rnacentral:miRNA from 1 species
GAGAGAAUUUGAGAUUGUUAGAGU